UAAUUUUUAGGGUUGGCUGUAGAAAAUUAUUCUCUUAUCCUUAGGAGCAUAUGGUAGAUUUUAUUCCCUAUAUAUAGGACCCUCCUCUCUCUCAAAACACACGUAAUUGAGACCCUUAAAUCCUCCCUGAAAUUCAAUCUAAGAAAAAGCCAAAAAAGAAGAAAUAUUUCUGAGUUGGUUUCAUGUCCCUAUUCUUGGUCUUCAUUUGUUCUGUAUUGUUUGGAGCUGGGUCUAUCUCUAGACCUUCUGGUUUUCUCCUGCUGGCCGGGUCACUGAUUUAAGUCUGAAGAUUAUUUGAUCCUCUGUUGCUGUUGUAUUAUUGCUGGUUCCAACUUAUUUCACUUUCAUUUGGCAUUUUUCUGAGCUGUUUUCUACACAUCAGGAGGCAGGAGGAGUUCAUGUGAUAAAUGCAUGUUUAGUUACUAAAGCAUGGAGAUUUAGCAUAAAGAAAGUGAGAUGUUGUUGUGAGCAGAAUUCAAUCGAGAUUUCAGUUCUAUAAUGUAAAAGUGAUGGAUUAUGUAUUAACAGUUAAGAUAAUGUUUUGAGCGACCAUGUAUUCAAUUUAGAAAUAGCGUGUAAUUAUUCUCACAUUAGCAUGUCAUGUAUUAGUCCUUUUCUUUUC